rnacentral:rRNA from 1 species
GACAGAGGUGCCGAGCGUUAGGCGGAAUCACUGGGCUUAAAGCGUGUGUAGGCGGGUCGUUAAGUGUCUUGUGAAAUCCCACCGCUCAACGGUGGAACUGCUGGGCAUACUGGCGAUCUUGAGCCACCUAGGGGCAGACGGAACAAGCGGUGGAGCGGUGAAAUGCGUAGAUAUCAGGAAGAACACCAACGGCGAAGGCAGCUCGCUGGGACGGUACUGACGCUGAGACGCGAAAGCGUGGGGAGCGAACAGG